UACGGGGGGGGCAAGCGUUGUUCGGAAUUACUGGGCGUAAAGGGCUUGUAGGUGGCCAACUAAGUCAGACGUGAAAUCCCCCGGCUUAACCGGGGAACUGCGUCUGAUACUGGAUGGCUAGAGAUUGGGAGAGGGACGCGGAAUUCCAGGUGUAGCGGUGAAAUGCGUAGAUAUCUGGAGGAACACCGGUGGCGAAGGCGGCAUCCUGGACCGAGAUUGACGCUGAUGCGCGAAAGCCAGGGGAGCAAACGGG
rnacentral:rRNA from 1 species